rnacentral:rRNA from 1 species
AUGCCCACCAAUCAUGUUUGCUCCGUUGUGUCAGGGGAUGUAGUACAUUGGGUUGGGGAGCUUGAAGGAACGGGCGCUCAUGGAGUAGCCCAGCAGGUCGCUCCACUGGUCGCCCGAGUUGCCCAGGAUCUUGUACCCCUCCGCCUCCAUCUCCUUCCUCUUCUCCGACUUGUAGUCCGUCGCCGUUUUCUCCCGGUCAGCUGCUGCCCUGGACAUCAUCACAGAGGGCAGGUUUCAGAAUCCCAUUAUGUAGAAAUGAGGAACACUAGUUGGCAGAGGACUACAACAAGAUUAGUGGCUGUGAAAAUUCAGCACCGCAGCAAGACUAUUUCACCCCUGUUCUCAGGUUGUGAGACUGCCAUGUUGGAAUUUGGAUGA